CCAAGAUGAAAUCUUCACAGACCGCCGGAGCACAAGCUUGAGUCUGUCGGAGUGCCGCACCGCCUUCACUCUGCCGUAGCACCUCCAUCUCGCCUGAUUCUCCGACGCCCUUCGAAAACGCUCAUUUUCACUCAGACCUGUUCCAAACCUAGUGUGAUCCAAUUCCAUUUAACAUGACAUCCAACCCAACCCGACUUGGCUAGGCAGCUAAAGGAUUUGGCGGCGACAAGUACUAUUAGCGGCGACAUGUCAAGCAUUAGCGACGGUUUACUAGCGGCGACUCAUUAGCGGCGACAAGUCGCCGCUACUACUUUUAGCGGCGACAAAUGGUAGUAUUAACGGCGACAAAGGUCGCCGCUAUUGCCAGAAUUCUUUGUAGUGAAUAAAUCUAAUCAAAGGUUUCAUUGUUAAAACUUAAACAUUCAAAUAAAGGUCUGAUAUGUAUUAUCUUGAUGCAAUUUGUUUCCUUAAUGUUAAAGUAUAUUCUUAGUCAAGACAUAAAUACUAAAA